UACGUAGGGUGCGAGCGUUAAUCGGAAUUACUGGGCGUAAAGCGUGCGCAGGCGGUUCGUUGUGUCUGAUGUGAAAGCCCCGGGCUCAACCUGGGAAUGGCAUUGGAAACUGGCGAGCUGGAGUGUGGCAGAGGGGGGUGGAAUUCCGCGUGUAGCAGUGAAAUGCGUAGAUAUGCGGAGGAACACCGAUGGCGAAGGCAAUCCCCUGGGCCUGCACUGACGCUCAUGCACGAAAGCGUGGGGAGCAAACAGG
rnacentral:rRNA from 1 species